rnacentral:rRNA from 1 species
UACGUAGGGGGCUAGCGUUGUCCGGAAUCAUUGGGCGUAAAGGGCGCGUAGGCGGCCAUUCAAGUCAGGGGUGAAAGCCUGUGGCUCAACCACAGAAUUGCCUUUGAUACUGUUUGGCUAGAGACCGGAAGAGGUAAGUGGAACUGCGAGUGUAGAGGUGAAAUUCGUAGAUAUUCGCAAGAACACCAGUGGCGAAGGCGGCUUACUGGUCCGGUUCUGACGCUGAGGCGCGAAAGCGUGGGGAGCAAACAGG